rnacentral:rRNA from 1 species
GGACGACCCUUCGGGGAGCUUGUACAGGUGCUGCAUGGCUGUCGUCAGCUCGUGUCGUGAGAUGUCGGUUAAGUCCGCUAACGAGCGCAACCCUCGCUGUGUGUUACAAGUGUCACACGGAACUGCCGGUCAUAAACCGGAGGAAGGUGGGGAUGACGUCAAGUCAGCAUGGCCUUUAUAUCCUGGGCUACACACACGCUACAAUGGGAAGGGACAAUAGGUUGCGAAGCCGCGAGGUGGAGCCAAUCCAGUAAAACUUCCCUCAGUUCAGAUUGCAGGCUGCAACUCGCCUGCAUGAAGUUGGAGUUGCUAGUAAACGCAGGUCAGCCAUACUGCGUUGAAUACGUUCCCGGGGCUU